CUAAAGAGAGUUCUAGAGAA
rnacentral:siRNA from 1 species